AUUGAACGCUGGCGGUAGGCCUUACACAUGCAAGUCGAACGAGACGCGGACGGGUGAGUACUGACCGUGAAACUGAAUGGUGGAGGGCGACAACCACUGGAAACAGUAGCUACUACCGCACAAAACAGGAUGUGCCAGGAUGGGUUUAGAUUGUUGGUGGGGUAACGGCGCACCAAGGCGACGAUCCCUAUCUGGUCUGAGAGGAUGACCAGCCACACUGGAACUGAGACACGGGCCAGACUCCUACGGGAGGUGGCAGUGGGGAGUAUUGCACAAUGGGCGCAACCCUGAUGCAGCCAUGCCGCGUGUAUGAUGAAGGCCUUCGGGUUGUAAAGUACUUUCGGCAGUGAGGCGUUACCCGCAGAAUAAGCACCGGCUAACUCCGUGCCAGCAGCCGCGGUAAUAC
rnacentral:rRNA from 1 species